GUUAGGGGAGGUUUCCCUGAUCUGCAGGAAUCAGCGUGGACGGCAGAGCCUCCCUGACAGGAGAGGGAAUAGUUAUGGAAGGACCUGAGAUGAGUGGAGGCGAGUGUGGAGAGGCUAUGCAGGCCCAGACUCUGGGACCCCGUAGGCCAUGGGAAGAACUUCGAUCUUCAGUCCAGGAGCCCUGGGAACGGAAUAUUGUUGUUUGACUUUUGCGAUGAUCAGUUUCACAUAUCCACUUGGCCAGUCGCUGGUACCCGGUUAUUCCAUCAAACACUAAAUCAGAUUAUCCUGGGUGAGACUGAUUCAAUCAGCUGAAAGACCUCAGGAGCGGAACUGAGGCUUCCCUGAGAAAACAUAAAUUCUGCCUAUGGACAGCAAUUUCAGUUCACCCCUAAAAUCCCACCCUCCUCUUUCUGAUGGCCUGUGCUGUGGACUUCCGAUGUGCCUUGCCAGCGCCCACAAUCAUGUGCAGCAAGUUGCCUUUUUAAAAUGUGCACUUUGGCCGGGUGUGGCAGCUCACUCUUGUAAUCCUAGCACUUCGGGAGGCCGAAGUGGGAGAACUGCUUGAGGCCAGGAGUUCGAGACCAGCCUGGGCAACAUCGUGAGACCACAUCUGUACAACAAAUAAAAUUUAAAAAAAUAUUAGCCAGGCAUGGUGGUGCAUGCCUAUAGUCCCAGCUACUUGGGAGGCUGAGGCGGGAGGAUCACUUGAGUUCAGGAGGUUGAAGCUUCAGUGAGCUGUGAUCAUGCCAAUGCAUUCCAGCCUGGGCAACAUACAAGAUCCUGUCUCAGAAAAACAAAUACAACAUACACCUUCUCCUCUGUUGUCUCUGUCAUAGGAACUAACCGUGCUGUACUCUGUGCUGGUUAUGGGUCUCACUCUUUAUUUCCUUUCCCUCCAGCCAUGCAAAGCCUUUUGUGCUAUUCUGUCCAAGUUGCAGUCAGCAACUUUAGUGCACAGGUGAUAAAAUUACAUCAUAUUUCAGGUA
rnacentral:lncRNA from 1 species